UUAUUCGGUGCAACCAAACCACA
rnacentral:snRNA from 1 species